GAUGAAAGUCAUAUUUGGCCGUAGUACAUAGAUGGACUGUUAAUUGGUAUGAUUAUGACCAGGGAUUAUUCGGUAUAAUCAUGACCCGUAAUGUUACAAAUGAUGUGAUAAAAGUCAUCAUUGGCCCGUAGUGCAUUGAUGGACAGUUGUUGGUAUGAUCAUGACCAUUGGUGAUACUAAUGAAUAUCCUUGGCCCGUAGUGAAGGGAUGAUUCGAUGAUGUGGAUUAUUUAUUAAGCUGAGUCUCAGCGAUAAAACUGUUGAUAAACUUUUUAAAUCAAAGAAGAUAGUAGAUAUCAUGCUCUACAUGACUCUUCUAAUGGAUUGCUUGUUCUGCUGUAGUUAAACUUGAUGUUUAUUAUAUUUUAUCAGUUUAACACUAUUGAAGGCUAACGAUAAUUUAUUCUGCAUUAUCUUAGUCAUAAUAUUUCAUACUGAGCUAGUUGAGCUCACCCUUUGCUUUCAUUGUUCUCUUCAGGAAAUGAGAAUAUAGUUGGGACUAGUCGGGGAAAGAAGUGACGGUCCAGAUAGGUGGCUAUAGUAGUCCUCACUAUUAUGUGAAAUAGUGUGAUAAUAAUUAUAAUGAGGACUUUAUUUGAGGUUGUAUACUCUCUACGAGACAUUAUCCGUGUUGAAACUCUCAACUAUGUUUUGUCGUACUGUAUCAAAUAAGUUUGUAUUUAAAUUCUGUACCAUGUAUUUGGCGACUCAAGAUGGGUGAUGUAUACCUAUUUUGGGGGCGUCACAGUUGGUAUCAAAGCUUAGGGAUAUGAUCUCUGGCUGAGAUGUGAGACUAGAACUAGGAUGGGAGAG
rnacentral:lncRNA from 1 species